rnacentral:ncRNA from 1 species
AACGCUAGGGGAGCACAUCGCUGAGAUUGAACGUGCAACGCACUGUUCUAACCCUCACUACUUGAACCGGAUAAUACCGGCGUAAGGAAGCAAA